rnacentral:rRNA from 1 species
GAUGAACGCUGACAGAAUGCUUAACACAUGCAAGUCAACUUGAACUUCGGUUUGGGUGGCGGACGGGUGAGUAACGCGUAAAGAACUUGCCUCACAGAUAGGGACAACAUUUGGAAACGAAUGCUAAUACCUGAUAUUGUGAUUUUAGGGCAUCCUAGGAUUAUGAAAGCUAUAUGCGCUGUGAGAGAGCUUUGCGUCCCAUUAGCUAGUUGGAGAGGUAACGGCUCACCAAGGCGAUGAUGGGUAGCCGGCCUGAGAGGGUGAUCGGCCACAAGGGGACUGAGACACGGCCCUUACUCCUACGGGAGGCAGCAGUGGGGAAUAUUGGACAAUGGACCAAGAGUCUGAUCCAGCAAUUCUGUGUGCACGAUGAAGUUUUUCGGAAUGUAAAGUGCUUUCAGUUGGGAAGAAAAAAAUGACGGUACCAACAGAAGAAGUGACGGCUAAAUACGUG